UACAUAGAUUUCGAUUUCUAAUUCAUCAUGCAGUCAAGCUGAAACUUGGACAAAUCAAAGUCUAGCUGUAUUGAAGACGCGCCUCACGUACUGGGUCUACAUCAUGAUCACAAAACUGCAGUCUCUGUUGGGCCACAAGAAGAACACCAGAAAAAUGCUUUGAGGAAGCCAAGGUUGUUCAAAAGAGUAAGGAAUAUCUACAGACGAGAAACAGGGCUGAAAUGCAACAGAACAAUGAGGGUACAAUUCCUGCAUGACAUUCUGUACACAGCAGACAACAAUCAAGAAAUGAUGGAGCCAAUACAAAGAUUGCCACUAUUUCCAAUUAUUCAUUGCAGUGUUAAUUGUUAGACAAGUGUAGAAUACAUAAAUUCUCAUAACAAU